GGCGGGCAAGGGUCGCUCUCCGUCGCUCAAGCCGCCCUCUUUUGCCCACCUGAAGGGCGAGCGGGCAAGCAGCCGUAUCUUCGAAGGCCGCCGUGCCUCCAUCGCGGCGAAUGAAUGCCGGUAAUUAGGCUAACUUUCAUUGGCACCCCUUCCCGGCACCGAGUAACGAUCGCGGAGGGCCGGGCGGGCCUCAGCGCCACAGAGAACGGCGGGCGCGCGGCCCUUAGUGCUCUCCGCGACGCGAUCGUGGCUGGUGGCAAGGCUCAGGCCCCGCGCUGCUCCCCCCGUCGCUCCUGGUCCGCGCUCACGCCUUCUCGCACCAAGAGCUCCUGCAGGACUCUCCACGGCCGCCGAAGGAGACCAUGCUAGAGAGCGGCCCGCGGCGCUCGCUCUCAAGUUCCGUGUCGCGAGAGCUCACCGCGAAGGCUGACUGAGGUCGAUCAAAGCAAAAGGCCGAUUGAUAACCUCUUUAGUUCACGUCUCGGAACGCCAAAAUAAAUGGGCAACGAGUGGUUCGGGCAGUCAAGCAUGCCCAAGAGAGGCGAGGCGGUCCCAGUGCUCGCCUGAACACUGAGGUGAGCACAGGUUCAUUCUCCUCCUCCUCCUCCUCAGCCUCCUCUUCA